rnacentral:lncRNA from 1 species
UCUUGAGAACCGUUAUGAUUUCAAAGUUUAUACUUGACAUGUAUAUGAACCAACACCAGAGGGUGUGUCAUAAUUUAUGAACGACUGCCUAGGGCAAAGUUCAAGGUCAAAAACUUUGGUUUCAGUUGACAACCCUGUGUCCUGUGGUGAAGAUCGUGUCCGCUCUAUAUCUUGAGAACCGUUAUGAUUUCAAAGUUUAUACUUGACAUGUUUAUAAACCAACACCAAAGGGUGUGUCAUAAUUUAUUUACAACUUCCUAGGUCAAAGGUCAAGGUCAAAAACUUUGAUUUCAGUUGACAAACCCAUGUCCUAUGGUAAAGAUACAAUUUUUUAAUGCACAUUAUUCACAGCGGGGCCCACAGAGAUGGCUCCCAUCUCAAUGAUAUCUAGUUAUUUGUGUUUUUUGUCCACACUGAGGUCAUAAACUUCCAAUCCAGCUUAUAGCAGGUAUGCU